UAGGAAAUCUUCGGCAAUGGACGAAAGUCUGACCGAGCAACGCCGCGUGAGUGAAGAAGGUUUUCGGAUCGUAAAACCCUGUUGGUAGAGAAGAACGUUGGUGAGAGUGGAAAGCUCAUCAAGUGACGGUAACUACCCAGAAAGGGACGGCUAACUACGUGCUAG
rnacentral:rRNA from 1 species